GGCAGAGAUGCCUUGGUGCCUUCGGGAACGCUGAGACAGGUGCUGCAUGGCUGUCGUCAGCUCGUGUUGUGAAAUGUUGGGGUUAAGUCCCGCAACGAGCGCAACCCUUAUCCUUGUUGCCAGCGAUUCGGUCGGGAACUCAAAGGAGACUGCCGGUGAUAAACCGGAGGAAGGUGGGGAUGACGUCAAGUCAUCAUGGCCCUUACGAGUAGGGCUACACACGUGCUACAAUGGCGCAUACAAAGAGAAGCGACCUCGCGAGAGCAAGCGGACCUCAUAAAGUGCGUCGUAGUCCGGAUCGGAGUCUGCAACUCGACUCCGUGAAGUCGGAAUCGCUAGUAAUCGUGGAUCAGAAUGCCACGGUGAAUACGUUCCCGGGCCUUGUACACACCGCCCGUCACACCAUGGGAGUGGGUUGCAAAAGAAGUAGGUAGCUUAACCUUCGGGAGGGCGCUUACCACUUUGUGAUUCAUGACUGGGGUGAAGUCGUAACAAGGUAGGCGUAGCGAG
rnacentral:rRNA from 1 species